GACGUAGGGCGCGAGCGUUGUCCGGAAUUAUUGGGCGUAAAGAGCUCGUAGGCGGUUUGUCGCGUCUGCUGUGAAAACUCGGGGCUUAACCCCGGGCCUGCAGUGGGUACGGGCAGACUAGAGUGCGGUAGGGGAGACUGGAAUUCCUGGUGUAGCGGUGAAAUGCGCAGAUAUCAGGAGGAACACCGGUGGCGAAGGCGGGUCUCUGGGCCGUAACUGACGCUGAGGAGCGAAAGCAUGGGGAGCGAACAGG
rnacentral:rRNA from 1 species